GACGAACGCUGGCGGCGUGCCUAAUACAUGCAAGUCGAACGCAGUGGGGACGGGUGAGUAACACGUGGGUAACCUCCCAUCAGAGGGGAUAACACUUGGAAACAGGUGCUAAACCCAUACUGAUGGAUGGAGUCGCGGUGCAUUAGCUAGAUGGGGGGGUAACGGCUCACCAAGGCCACGAUGCAUAGCCGACCUGAGAGGUGGAGCGGCCACAUGGGGACUGAGACACGGCCCAGACUCCUACGGGAGGCAGCAGUAGGGAAUCUUCGGCAAUGGACGAAAGUCUGACCGAGCAACGCCGCGUGAGUGAAGAAGGCUUUCGGAUGGUAAAACUCUUUUGUUAGGGAAGCGGUAUCUAACCAGAAAGCAACGGCUAACUCCGUGCCAGCAGCCGCGGUAAUUC
rnacentral:rRNA from 1 species